rnacentral:rRNA from 1 species
GACGAACGCUGGCGGCGUGCUUAACAUAUGCAAGUCGAACGGAAAGGCCCUGCUCUUGUGGGGUGCUCGAGUGGCGAACGGGUGAGUAACACGUGAGGAACAUGCCCUUGUCUUUGGGAUACCUUCAGGAAACUGGGGCGAAUACCGGAUAGGAGCUCCUGCUGCAUGGUGGGGGUUGGAAAGUUUCGGCGGUUGGGGAUGGACUCGCGGCUUAUCAGCUUGUUGGUGGGGUAGUGGCUUACCAAGGCUUUGACGGGUAGCCGGCCUGAGAGGGUGACCGGCCACAUUGGGACUGAGAUACGGCCCAGAAGGCUACGGGCGGCAGCGGUGGAAAAUAUUGCGCAAUGGGCGGAAGCGUGAUGCAGCGACGUCGCGUGCGGAAUGACGGCCUUCGGGUUAUAAACCGCUUUCGACUGUGACGAAGAGUGAGUGACGGUAAUGGGUCAGGAAGCACCGGCUAACUACGUG